rnacentral:rRNA from 1 species
CCUACGGGGGGCAGCAGUAGGGAAUUUUCGGCAAUGGGGGGAACGCUGACCGAGCAACGCCGCGUGAACGAAGACGUUAUUCGUAAUGUAAAGUUCUUUUAACAGGGAAGAAAGAGAAAUUUGACGGUACCUGAAGAAUAAGCUCCGGCUAACUCCGUGCCAGCAACCGCGGUAAUACGUAGGGAGCGAGCGUUAUCCAGAAUGAUUGGGCGAAAAGGGUGGGUAGAGGGCAUAGUAAGUCUUUUGUAAAAAUGCUGGGCUCAACCCAGUAGUGCAAAAGAUACUGCAAAGCUAGAGUAUGACAGAGGCAAGUGGAAGUAGAUGUGUAGCGGUAAAAUGCGUAAAUAU